ensembl:lncRNA
CUGGGGUGGAAAGUCGGAGCUCAAAACUCUCGACGACUUCUGGGGUUUAUUAGACCACAUGAGACGACAACCAAUCCCCCACCCGACCUCUGCUGCCUCUGGCCUGCCCUCUACACAAGCUGGAUAUGCUUCUGACCAAAGAAAGCCCUUAAUCUGAGUGCCAGGUGCUUUCAGCAGGAAGCAUCAUUUGCCCCAGGUAGUGAGGGCCAGCAGACACAGGAACUCAGAGCAUCAGUGGGGGAGUUAUGAGGAGGUAAGCCCGUUAGAAGAAAUUCACUGGAAACGUCUUCAAACCACAUUUGGAGUGCGGGCUCGGACUCAGUCGCUCGGUCAUGUCCGACUCUUUGUGACCUCAUGGACUGUAGCCCGCCAGGCUCCUCCGUCCACGGGAUUUUCCUGGGAAGAAUCCUGCAGUGGGCUGCCAUGGCCUCCUCCAGUUGGGAUGUAUAGAGGAUCCUGUUGUUCGUCCAUUCUCCCUGUGAUAGUUUGCAUCUGAUUAACUCCAAGUUCCCACGCCAUCGCUCAUUUUAUGCUUGAUAAAAGCCAAGGAUUAAGGAUGUGGAGUGACUUCCUAAAGGAUGAAAAGCUGGAGGCGAGUCACUGUAUCCUCCUAAGCAAUGAAUGGUGAAACUGAAGUUCAGAUGCACAGGAACUGAGGGACAGAAGCAGGAUUCUAGCCCACACUGUUGGCUCUCCACGCCUCUUACUGUAUCUUGAUCUUCCUGCCGUCUCCUUUUUCUCAGAUGAGGAAACUGAGGUACCGAAGCUUUAAGUGGCUCCACGCGAGACAUGUUGCCCGAGAGUGGGCCCAGAUUUCCCGUCUCCUGCCCCUCAACAUCAAGUAGACUCCUGCCCAGCACACUCAGAAUUCGUAGGACUCCAGCUGCCUUGGCCAAACAUGUCCCUUUGGCCAAUGGUUGGCAAAAUGUCACUUUCAUUUAGGUGACGAAGCUCCUCACCAGAUACAAUGCUGAAAAUGUAGGCCACUUCCCCAUGUGACUGCGUUUCAUAACUCAGAGCUAAAGAUGUCUCUCGGCUCACUUGGC